AAUAAACGCUGGCGGCGUGCCUAACACAUGCAAGUCGAGCGAGAAAGUUCCUUCGGGAGCAAGUAAAGCGGCGGACGGGUGAGUAACGCGUGAGAAUUUACCCUUUAGCGAGGAAUACCUCUGAGAAAUCAGGGCUAAUACUGCAUAAGUCCCUACGGGGAGAAAGGUGGCCUAUUUGCUGCCGCUAAAGGAUAAGCUUGCGGGCUAUUAGCUAGUUGGUGAGGUAAAGGCUCACCAAGGCGAUGAUGGCUAGCCGGCCUGAGAGGGUGUACGGCCACACUGGAACUUAGACACGGUCCAGACUCCUACGGGAGGCAGCAGUGAGGAAUAUUGCGCAAUGGGCGAAAGCCUGACGCAGCGACGCCGCGUGGAGGAUGAAGGUCUUCGGAUUGUAAACUUCUGUUAAGUGGGAAGGAAGAUUUAUCCCUAAUAUGGAUAAAGGAUGACGGUACCAUUAGAGAAAGCACCGGCUAACUUCGUGCCAGCAGCCGCGGUAAU
rnacentral:rRNA from 1 species